rnacentral:rRNA from 1 species
GACGAACGCUGGCGGCGUGCCUAAUACAUGCAAGUAGAACGCUGAAGGAGGAGCUUGCUUCUCCGGAUGAGUUGCGAACGGGUGAGUAACGCGUAGGUAACCUGCCUGGUAGCGGGGGAUAACUAUUGGAAACGAUAGCUAAUACCGCAUAACAGUAGAUAUUGCAUGAUAUCUGCUUGAAAGGUGCAAUUGCAUCACUACCAGAUGGACCUGCGUUGUAUUAGCUAGUUGGUGAGGUAACGGCUCACCAAGGCGACGAUACAUAGCCGACCUGAGAGGGUGAUCGGCCACACUGGGACUGAGACACGGCCCAGACUCCUACGGGAGGCAGCAGUAGGGAAUCUUCGGCAAUGGACGGAAGUCUGACCGAGCAACGCCGCGUGAGUGAAGAAGGGUUUCGGAUCGUAAAGCUCUGUUGUAAGAGAAGAACGAGUGUGAGAGUGGAAAGUUCACACUGUGACGGUAUCUGACCAGAAAGGGACGGCUAACUACGUG